rnacentral:rRNA from 1 species
AUACGUAGGGGGCGAGUGUUGUCCGGAAUGAUUGGGCGUAAAGGGCGCGUAGGCGGCCCGGUAAGUCUGGAGUGAAAGUCCUGUUUUUAAGAUGGGAAUUGCUUUGGAUACUGUCGGGCUUGAGUGCAGGAGAGGUAAGUGGAAUUCCCAGUGUAGCGGUGAAAUACGUAGAGAUUGGGAGGAACACCAGUGGCGAAGGCGACUUACUGGACUGUAACUGACGCUGAGGCGCGAAAGUGUGGGGAGCAAACAGGAUUAGAUACCCUGGUAGUCCACACUGUAAACGAUGAAUGCUAGGUGUAGGGGGUAUCGACCCCUUCUGUGCCGCAGUCAACACAAUAAGCAUUCCGCCUGGGGAGUACGGCCGCAAGGUUGAAACUCAAAUGAAUUGGCGGGG